GGGAAGAGCUACCUAGGCGUUCUCUGUCUCUGCACACACAGAGGAAAGGCCAUGUGAGGACACAGAAGACAGCUACCUGCAAACCAGAAAGAGAGGCCCCUUCUUGAAACCAGCCGUGCUGGGAACUUGAUCUUGGGACUUCCAGCCUCCAGAACUGGAUUAUCUCUAAAGUAAGAAGGAAGCUUUUCCCAUAAAUGAUGAGUCCUUGAAUUCCUCCUAAUCAUUGAUCAGAUAGUUUGGAGGGACCUCAAGAGACCCAGUUCUCAAAAAUGGUCUGUAUAAGAAAUACCCACUUGAAUGGCUUAUCUACGUCUGCCGUAAAACUGUAAUUGAAGACUUUUCCACUAUAUUACCCAAUGACCCUUAUGCAAGGGCCCAGAUGAUAAGUUUCUCCUUGUUUCCAGGAAAGAGUGUGCUUCUGCAGAGCUGCUUUCUUGGACAGGACGGGUGCCAUUGGAAGAGGAGUUCCGGCUGGACCACGAGGGGAAUGUGGAACAAAUCCACGCCCUGAGGUCCCAUCGGCUGGGUGCGGAAA